UACGGAGGGGGUUAGCGUUGUUCGGAAUGACUGGGCGUAAAGCGCGCGUAGGCGGAUCGCAAAGUUGGGGGUGAAAGCCCAGGGCUCAACCCUGGAAUUGCCUUCAAGACUCGCGGUCUGGAGUUCGAGAGAGGUGGGUGGAAUUCCGAGUGUAGAGGUGAAAUUCGUAGAUAUUCGGAGGAACACCAGUGGCGAAGGCGGCCCACUGGCUCGACACUGACGCUCAUGCACGAAAGCGUGGGGAGCAAACAGG
rnacentral:rRNA from 1 species